rnacentral:tRNA from 1 species
GGACCGGGUAUGACAUGCUUUGCAAGCAGGGGGCCGCGGGUUCGAGUCCCGCCACGUCCACCA